AAUGCCUUGGUGAGCUUUGAAACACAUUGAGCACAGCGUGAAAUCCUUCCUCUCUCUGGGGUGUUCAGGCUGCUGAGGAACCCGUUCUCAAGAUUUUUAUUGGACAUCCUGGGGCCCCAGUUCAACUACUUUCCAAGGUGAGACAUGCUGAACCAGAACCUGAA
rnacentral:lncRNA from 1 species